rnacentral:tRNA from 1 species
AAAUAAUUUAUUUAGAAUAUUGAUUUGUGGUAUCAAAAGUAUAAUAUUAUAUUAUUUU